UUGCGGUUAAAAAGCUCGUAGUUGGAUCUCGGCAAGUAGAGGGCGGUAUGCUUCGUAGCAUUACUGCCCUAUUACUUGUAGUUUUGCCAGAGGUUCCUGGGUGCUCUUAAUCGAGUGUCUAGGGAUGCUGGCAGGUUUACUUUGAAAAAAUUAGAGUGCUCAAAGCAGGCUAUUACGCUUGAAUAUUCGUGCAUGGAAUAAUAGAAUAGGAAGUUGUUUCUAUUUUGUUGGUUUUCGGAAAUCGACUUAAUGAUUAAUAGGGACAGUCGGGGGCAUUUGUAUUCAAACGACAGAGGUGAAAUUCUUGGACCGUUUGAAGACAAACUACUGCGAAAGCAUUUGCCAAGAAUGUUUUCAUUAAUCAAGAACGAAAGUUAGAGGUUCGAAGGCGAUUAGAUACCGCCCUAGUUCUAACCAUAAACGAUGCCAGCUAGCGAUCUGAGGACGUUUUUUUGUAGACUCCUCAGGAAGCUUCCGGGAAACCAAAGCGUGUGGGUUCCGGGGGAAGUAUGGUUGCAAAGCUGAAACUUAAAGGAAUUGACGGAAGG
rnacentral:rRNA from 1 species